rnacentral:rRNA from 1 species
AUGGGAAAGGCGGCCGGGGGGCAGCGGGAGCAGCAGCCGCCGGGGGCGGCGGCGGAGGUAGGGGGAGAAGGAAGAAGAAGAGGAAGAAGCUGCAGCGGAUGCCGCCGGUCCGUGCGUCCGCAAUGCGUGGCCGCGCUCCUUCUCGGCGCCGCCGUGGUCCUCUCCGCCCUGUUCUGGCUGCCGCCCUUCGCCGGGCGCCACCGCGGCCGCCGAGCUGGGCCGCCGGAUCCCCCGGGGGACGCGCUCGCAGCUGAUAUAGUGGCAAGCUUUGUGCUACAAAAGACGGUUUCAGAGUUGAAUGAAAGUAUACCUAAGCUUGAGUUUGACAUCUAUGAGGAAAUUGGCAUCCCUAACUCUACUGUUGCUGUAAAUUUUCUACAACCAUCAGGUGCAUCAAACUGGACAAAUGUCAUCUUCAGCGUUGUGCCUUAUCCAAAAUACUCAACUAUGUCAUCAACAUGGUUGAGCAUUCUUAGGUCUCAUUUCAUGUCCUUGGUUGUACAGCAGUCAACACUCCAAUUGACAGAGUCGCUGUUUGGGAACUCAUCAUUCUUCGAGGUGCUUAAGUUCCCUGGAGGAAUAACCAUUAUCCCUCCGCAAGCUGCUUUUCUUGUGCAGAAGCCUUAUGCAUCUUUCAACUUCACUCUGAAUUUCCCAAUCGACAAGGUACAGGAUAAAACAAAUGAGUUGAAAGACCAAAUGAGGGCAGGACUACUUCUCGAUACCAAUGAGAUCCUUUAUAUCAAAUUGACAAAUUUGGAAGGUUCAACGGUUGCUCCUCCAACAGUUGUUCGGUCCUCCAUUAUUCUAGAAGUUGGGAAUCACCAGCCUUCCCCUCCAAGAAUGAAGCAGUUGGCACAAACGAUCGCUAAUUCAUCUUCAGGAAACUUGGGACUAAAUCACACUGUAUUUGGCAAAGUAAAGCAGAUAAGUCUUUCGUCGUAUCUGCGGCAUUCUUUGCACAGCGGGAGUGAUAGUGAUGCACCAAGCCCCGCACCCAUGACUCAUGAAGAUCAUCGCCAUCACCACCACCAUCAUCAUCACCACCACCACCACCACCACCAUCACCACCACCAUAGCCACCACCGUAGUCAUGAAGUAAUUAGGCAUUUGCCUCCAUCUCCUGCACCUGUACAUCCUCCUGUGGAACAGCCCAAAUAUAGAUCUCCAUCCCCAUCUGGUUAUUCAUAUGGAUACACCAAUAAGCCAAAAAAUAAGGCUCCUGUGGCCCCAGCGGCUGAGCCAGUAGUUAGGAAUCAUCAUUAUGCUUCCCCUCCCACCAUGCCUCAUGCAGUGUCACCAUCUUCUGUCAGUCCAUCACCUUCUGCUCGUCACUCUACAAAUAUUCCCAACAGGCACCAUAGUUCCCCUGCUCCAUCUCCAGCAAAUGUGAAGCCCCCGCUGCAUACAGUGUCUCUCGCUCAUGCACAUCAUCCUGCUCAAGUGCCAGCUGUGGCCCCUGCUCCCAACACAUCAUUUGCCACCCGAAGGCAUUCCUGUCAAUGGGCACUUGCGAUGCUAUUGUGUUUGCUGGCUGGUCUACCAUGA